AGUGAACGCUGGCGGUAGGCCUAACACAUGCAAGUCGAACGGCAGCACAGAGGAGCUUGCUCCUUGGGUGGCGAGUGGCGGACGGGUGAGGAAUACAUCGGAAUCUACUCUGUCGUGGGGGAUAACGUAGGGAAACUUACGCUAAUACCGCAUACGACCUACGGGUGAAAGCAGGGGAUCUUCGGACCUUGCGCGAUUGAAUGAGCCGAUGUCGGAUUAGCUAGUUGGCGGGGUAAAGGCCGACCAAGGCGACGAUCCGUAGCUGGUCUGAGAGGAUGAUCCGCCACACUGAACUGAGACACGGUCCAGACUCCUGCGGGAGGCAGCAGUGGGGAAUAUUGGACAAUGGGCGCAAGCCUGAUCCAGCCAUACCGCGUGGGUGAAGAAGGCCUUCGGGUUGUAAAGCCCUUUUGUUAGGAGAGAAGUCCAGCUGGUUAAUACCCGGUUGGGAUGACGGUACCCAAAGAAUAAGCACCGGCUAACUUCGUGCCAGCCGCCGCGGUAA
rnacentral:rRNA from 1 species